rnacentral:rRNA from 1 species
AUUGAACGCUGGCGGCAGGCUUAACACAUGCAAGUCGAGCGGAGCGAGGGUGCUUGCACCUUAGCUUAGCGGCGGACGGGUGAGUAAUGCUUAGGAAUCUGCCUAUUAGUGGGGGACAACAUUCCGAAAGGAAUGCUAAUACCGCCUACGCCCUACGGGGGAAAGCAGGGGAUCUUCGGACCUUGCGCUAAUAGAUGAGCCUAAGUCGGAUUAGCAAGUUGGUGGGGUAAAGGCCUACCAAGGCGACGAGCUGUAGCGGGUCUGAGAGGAUGAUCCGCCACACUGGGACUGAGACACGGCCCAGACUCCUACGGGAGGCAGCAGUGGGGAAUAUUGGACAAUGGGCGGAAGCCUGAUCCAGCCAUGCCGCGUGUGUGAAGAAGGCCUUUUGGUUGUAAAGCACUUUAAGCGAGGAGGAGGCUACUUAGAUUAAUACUCUGGGAUAGUGGACGUUACUCGCAGAAUAAGCACCGGCUAACUCUGUGCCAGCCGCCGCAGUAA